rnacentral:lncRNA from 1 species
GUGUCUCCCAGGUCUGGAGCUCCGGGUUACAGGAAUGCCCCACUGAAGGCUGGAGAAAAUGGAGGAUUGAGUGAGGCCUUUGUGACGGAGACAGCUUGGAGGUGGAGGAAGGCCAUCCUGACUCACACUUCCCCUUGCAGAACUUCUCUGUGACCUUGGAGACAUCACUCAACCUUCAGGAAUUCGUCAGCCCUCUCUGUGCCUCUCUGCUUACCUUCUGUACAGUGGGACUGUGGCAGGUGCUCAACGUGUAAAUUGCUUCAUAACUCAGGAGCAAGGAAGGAGCCAGGAGAUUACGAGAUGAGGAGGGUGGUCCCAGCCCUGCAUGCUGUCACCACUGUGGGUGUCCCCCACAGGGACCUGAAAUCAGCUGGGAAGAGUGGCUUCUCUUGGCGCCAUUACCAGCCUGUGACCUUGGCAAGUCACUCAGCCUCUUUCCUCUAACAUCAGUUAAACAGGGGUAGGACGUCUCCUCUUUCUACCUCCAAAGGUAUUUAUUUUGAGAAGCAAAGCCCAUAACGGAUGUGAAAAUGCUUUGGGGGAGAAAACAGAAAGCAUGAUACAAAUGUAAGCUUCUUGUUGUAACUUUAUCAUGCUGCUUGUUAUGCUUUUGUUUUCUCUUCCAG